AGAGUUUGAUCCUGGCUCAGAAUGAACGCUGGCGGCGUGCCUAACACAUGCAAGUCGCACGAGAAAGGCUGGGUUUCGGCUUGGCCGAGUAAAGUGGCGCACGGGUGAGUAACGCGUGGGUGACCUACCCUCGAAUCUGGGAUAACCUCGCGAAAGCGGGGCUAAUACCGGAUACGUCCCUUUGGGGAGAAAGCCGGCCUCUCGAAGAAGCUGGUGUUCGGGGAUGGGCCCGCGUCCUAUCAGCUAGUUGGUAGGGUAACGGCCUACCAAGGCGACGACGGGUAGCUGGUCUGAGAGGAUGAUCAGCCACACUGGCACUGGAACACGGGCCAGACUCCUACGGGAGGCAGCAGUGAGGAAUUUUGCGCAAUGGGAGCAAUCCUGACGCAGCAACGCCGCGUGGGUGAAGAAGGCCUUCGGGUCGUAAAGCCCUGUCAGGAGGGAAGAACCUCGUUUGGGCGAACAGCCUGGACGACUGACGNACCUCCAGAGGAAGCAC
rnacentral:rRNA from 1 species